rnacentral:rRNA from 1 species
CCCUUAGAUGUUCUGGGCUGCACGCGCGCUACAAUGGCGUUUUCAAAAAGAUUGCUAAUCCGAAAGGACCAGCGGAUCUUCGAAGUGGCGUCGUGAUCGGGACAGUUGAUUGCAAUUAUUCGACUCGAACGAGGAAUUCCUUGUAAUCGUGCGUCAUCAACGCACGCUGAAUACGUCCCUGUUCUUUGUACACACCGCCCGUCGCUCCUACCGAUCGAGCGAUCCAAUGAAUGUUUCGGAGCGGAACUGAGAUGCUAAUGCGUCUCUUUUACGCGAAUUUGUGUGAAUUUGAUCGCUUAGAGGAAGGAGAAGUCGUAACA